GAGACAUAGCCCAGCCACCCUCAGGCUCACCCCAGACCCUGAUCCUCACAAGAACAGACUGAGCCCCCCCUCCCUAUAGAGACCCCCUCCUCUGGCCUUGCCCUGAUUCCAGCCUCUUGGGGCACCAGGAGCCUCCUCCCCUUUCUGGCAGCCAGCCCAGAAGCUCAGGCAGCAGCUGGGCUCAGCAUGGAUGAAGAUACCAUGAACGUGUUCGCCUGAAGGAAGGAGAGGAGCCCAGCUUUCUGGAUUUGGUUUUCGACCUGGGGAAGGGACGAGCUGCACGUGACCGAGAACUAAACUACCUGGCCGCCCUAACCAGGUUGGUGAUAGGGCUUUACUGCCACCUGCCCUGCCCUGUAGGGAGCCAAAUCGGGUCCACUCUCGGCUCAUUCCCCAGGAACAAGGAAAACCUCUAGGAAGCAGACAAAGACUGCUCGGGUUUCACCAAAAC
rnacentral:lncRNA from 1 species